rnacentral:lncRNA from 1 species
ACAUCUUGCAUUCUUAUCUACUCUUUUCGUUUUUUUAUUAUUUUUUUUUACAUUGAGAAAAAGCGAAAACUUGACUAUAAGUAUGAAGACAACACCAUUCAUUUUAAUAAUAUAUAUUCACUCCCCUAAUAAACAAUUCUCUAAAAUCUGAUGCUCUGUUGUCUCUGAUUCUAUUCACUGCCAAAAAGACCAUUGAGAACUACAACCCAUCAAUUAGAGCAAAGGUAUUAAUGUACAACUCAACUUUUUAUAUAAUUGUGAACGGCUUUAGACAAACUAAUAUCGCUUUAGAAUACAAAAAGGUUCACAGGUUACUUCGGGCGGGGUAAAGAGAGAAGAAUAAAGCCUUGGACUAAAUCUGAAGAUGUUUGUUAAUCAAGUUGAAUGUGUCCGCUUGGAUAUUAACCUUAAGUUUAGUUGUCAUGUGGUUUUGUAUCCUUAUCAAAUAAAUAAAUGGAAUUAUGACUUUUGUUUAUGAUACCAAUGUUAUUGUGACACGCCAGCCCAUCCGGGUUGGGGUGUUACAGCUAUGGUAUCAGAGCAAAGGCUCUUUCCUGUAGAAAACUUAAAGAUAGUAAUUAAAAACCUGUGAGGAAUGGGUAGAUAUUU